rfam:Drosophila pseudoobscura pseudoobscura strain MV2-25 chromosome 4 unlocalized genomic scaffold Ch4_group3, whole genome shotgun sequence.
UGCUUUCAUGUUGCUUUGGCCGGGCUCAAAGCAGAUGGAAAGCG